rnacentral:tRNA from 1 species
CGGGCCGUAGUAUAGUGGCAGUACACAUGCUUUGGGAGCAUGUAGUCUGGGUUCGAUUCCCAGCGGCCCGA